CUUCGUGCUGAUAGAGAAGAGGUCCCACCUAGCCCCAUUCCGAACCUAGCAGUUAAGCUCUUCUUCGCUGAUGAUACUGCUCUUUGCAAGAGUGGUAAAGUAGGACGGUGCGGAGA
rnacentral:rRNA from 1 species